UACAGAGGGCCCAAGCGUUGUUCGGAUUCACUGGGCGUAAAGGGUGCGUAGGUGGCCGGUUAAGUCUGACGUGAAAUCUCCGAGCCUAACUCGGAAACUGCGUCGGAAACUAUCCGGCUCGAGGGUUGGAGGGGGGACUGGAAUACUUGGUGUAGCAGUGAAAUGCGUAGAUAUCAAGUGGAACACCAGUGGCGAAGGCGAGUCCCUGGACAACUCCUGACACUGAGGCACGAAAGCUAGGGGAGCAAACAGG
rnacentral:rRNA from 1 species